AGGACGAACGCUGGCGGCGUGCCUAAUACCUGCAAGUCGAGCGGACAGAUGGGAGCUUGCUCCCUGAAGUCAGCGGCGGACGGGUGAGUAACACGUGGGCAACCUGCCUGUAAGACUGGGAUAACUUCGGGAAACCGGAGCUAAUACCGGAUAACACCGAGGACCUCAUGGUCCUUGGUUGAAAGAUGGCUUCGGCUAUCACUUACAGAUGGGCCCGCGGCGCAUUAGCUAGUUGGUGAGGUAACGGCUCACCAAGGCGACGAUGCGUAGCCGACCUGAGAGGGUGAUCGGCCACACUGGGACUGAGACACGGCCCAGACUCCUACGGGAGGCAGCAGUAGGGAAUCUUCCGCAAUGGACGAAAGUCUGACGGAGCAACGCCGCGUGAGCGAUGAGGGCCUUCGGGUCGUAAAGCUCUGUUGUUAGGGAAGAACAAGUACCGUUCGAAUAGGGCGGUACCUUGACGGUACCUAACCAGAAAGCCACGGCUAACUACGUGCCAGCAGCCGCGGUAAUACGUAGGUGGCAAGCGUUGUCCGGAAUUAUUGGGCGUAAAGCGCGCGCAGGCGGUUCCUUAAGUCUGAUGUGAAAGCCCACGGCUCAACCGUGGAGGGUCAUUGGAAACUGGGGAACUUGAGUGCAGAAGAGGAAAGCGGAAUUCCACGUGUAGCGGUGAAAUGCGUAGAGAUGUGGAGGAACACCAGUGGCGAAGGCGGCUUUCUGGUCUGUAACUGACGCUGAGGCGCGAAAAGCGUG
rnacentral:rRNA from 1 species